GUGAAUCAUCAAAUUUUUGAACGCAAAUUGCACUCUCUUCUGAUAGUGUGCCUGUUUGAGGGUCAGCCUCAAUAAACUCGACGUAGUCGCUGUUUCUCUGUGACAUUCGUCGGACCUUGUGUCAUCUUAAGCCUUUGGGUUUUUUAAGCGGCUUAACAUUUUCUGUACGUUUUCACUAACGUGUCUAAGCGUUUACUUCUUACACGAGUUUCAUGUAUCUAUCUUUAUUAGACGUUGCC
rnacentral:misc_RNA from 1 species